UAAGUACUGUGUGUAUUUCUUUCC
rnacentral:piRNA from 1 species